rnacentral:rRNA from 1 species
UACGUAGGUGGCAAGCGUUGUCCGGAUUUACUGGGCGUAAAGGAUGCGUAGGCGGACAUUUAAGUCAGAUGUGAAAUACCCGAGCUUAACUUGGGUGCUGCAUUUGAAACUGGGUGUCUAGAGUGCAGGAGAGGUAAGUGGAAUUCCUAGUGUAGCGGUGAAAUGCGUAGAGAUUAGGAAGAACACCAGUGGCGAAGGCGACUUACUGGACUGUAACUGACGAUGAGGCAUGAAAGCGUGGGGAGCAAACAGG